ACAAUUAUAAUUUAAUAAAAAAAAUAUUUGACUUCCAAUCAUAAAAUGUAGAUAACUUCUACUAAUUGUA
rnacentral:tRNA from 1 species